rnacentral:rRNA from 1 species
GUAGGUGUCGUGUCGGCAGCCGGGGUGAGUCGGAGGUGGCGCGAUUUGUCCGGACGCAUUGGGCGGAAAGCGCGCGGAGGCGGCCCGGUAAGUCCGCUGUAAAAGUCGAGGGCUCAAGCCGUGAAAGUCUGUUGAUAUGGGCGGGCUAGAGGCCGGAAGAGGCGAGUGGAAUGCCUGGUGUAGCGGUGGAAUGCGCAGAGAUCAGGAGGAACACCGAUGGCGAAGGCAGCGCGCUGGGACGGUACUGACGCUGAGGCGCGAAAGCGUGGGGAGCGAACAGGAUUAGAUACCCGAGUAGUC